GUGCUAUAACAAGUCUCAGUUAGCUUAAUAUAGUACACUACACGUAGCAAGAUUUUUUUUUAAAUCAUAUA